rnacentral:rRNA from 1 species
AGAGUUUGAUCCUGGCUCAGAUUGAACGCUGGCGGCAGGCCUAACACAUGCAAGUCGAGCGGCAGCGCGGGGGCAACCCUGGCGGCGAGCGGCGAACGGGUGAGUAAUACAUGGGAAUCUGCCUGGUAGUGGGGGAUAACUCUGGGAAACUAGAGGUAAUACCGCAUACGUCCUACGGGAGAAAGGGGGGGAUCUUCGGACCUCUCGCUAUCAGAGGAGCCCAUGUCCGAUUAGCUAGUUGGUGAGGUAAAGGCUCACCAAGGCGACGAUCGGUAACUGGUCUGAGAGGAUGGUCAGUCACACUGGAACUGAGACACGGUCCAGACUCCUACGGGAGGCAGCAGUGGGGAAUAUUGGACAAUGGGCGAAAGCCUGAUCCAGCAAUGCCGCGUGAGUGAUGAAGGCCUUAGGGUUGUAAAGCUCUUUUACCCGGGAAGAUAAUGACUGUACCGGGAGAAUAAGCCCCGGCUAACUCCGUG